GAUUCGUAUCUCCUCCUUUGAUGAUAAAAGGUGUAUUUAUUGGUAGAUUUGGGGAUGGGCUUUUGCCACCACUCAUAUCGUUGAUUGAGUUCUAAAUUUUAGUAGUUUUUGUAUUUAAAGAUUGAUUAGUACAUUUAUUAUCUACCACCUAGGACAUUUUGUAAAUCCUAUAAAAUUUGAUCCAAUCCACCUAAGACAUUUUGUAAAUCCUAUAAAAUUUGAUCUAAUGCUUUAAACUAGUUAUCGUUAAGUGUAAUAUAAAAGACUGAAUAACAUAAUAAAUCGAGAUAACUUGUAGCAUUUUAAAAACGAUUUUAACUGAGGUCUAAGGUCUUCAUCUUCUCCUUCAGGAUAAAAGUUGUAUUUAAUGGUAGAUUCAGUGACGGGCUCCUUCAGACCACAACUCAUGCAUCCAAUUGAGUUCUAAAUUUCAGUAGUUUUUGUGUGUUAUGAUGAGUACAUAGUACAUUCAUUAUGUACCACCCACAUCAUAUAAAAUAUGACACAUUAGUUUAGACUAUUCGUUUUCUGUUGUAAUAUAUAUAAUAUAAUAUAGUAACAUCAAUAUUAUCAAACUCAUACCGAUAUCGACAACUCAAUCGAUUGGACCAUGGGCAAUCCAUCAAAAUAGUGAAGUGCAAUUUUAAUAGUGAUAGAUUCGGGGAUGGGCUCCGUCAGACCAAACUCAUGCCUACUUCCAAUUGAGUUCUAAAUUUCAGUAGUUUUUUGUGCGUUAAAAGGGCGAUGAGUACAUUCAUUAUGUACCACCCACAUCAUAUAAAAUAUGACACAUUAGUUUAGACUAUUCGUUUUCUGUUGUAAUAUAUAUAAUAUAAUAUAGUAACAUCAAUAUUAUCAAACUCAUACCGAUAUCGACAACUCAAUCGAUUGGACCAUGGGCAAUCCAUCAAAAUAGUGAAGUGCAAUUUUAAUAUAGUUACAUUUAAAUCAUGAUUCAACUGUGAUUUAUGGGUCGAACCACGUUUUGACAAACCAUAUAUAGCAAUGCUUGUAAUGUGGACCUAAUACUUAUCUUUAACAACAACAAAAACAAACCUUAUUCGCAAGGUCAUUUAUAUACACCAAGUUGCAUGAUGAUUGUGUUUGGUUACGUGUAGAUAUAGCACUUUGCCCCCACUAAUUUUAGUUUCAUUGUAACCAAUAAUUAGCCAACUUCUUUGUCCCAAUAUACAAUAAUUGUUGGGGGAUAAGCCUAGCACCUUUAAUUUGUUCACAUCGUAUAAAAUCGUAGGCAUACGUAUUGUCUACGUACGUAUGAACUUGUUUUGUCGACUGUGUUUUUGUACUUAGGGUAAAUUCUUCCUUUAUUGCAUUGAAAGGUUGUGAAUAGUGAAAGUAACGGUCCGGCUAUAUAGUACGGUAGGUUGGGGUUGCUCUUGUUAUAAAGUUGUGUGUUUGGUGAUCCAGAGGUUCCGAGUUUGAAUCCUACCAUGUACAUUCACGAAAUAAAUAUCUAUGUAGUAUUUAUAGUUUCCUUCUCUCUUAUAAAGACAUAUUCAUUAUGAACUUGAUUUUGGGAUGUUUAUGUCAACGGUUACAUCUCAAUAACUUGAAUUGUUGGAAUAAAAUUCUGAUUCAUAUUUAUAUUAUUUACUAACACGACCCUCUCAAACGAAUAUUCUCAUAAAAGUUGAAAUUUGCACCGCUUCAACAAUUACCAAAGAUAAUCAAAAAUAAAAAAAUCUCUUAAUCAUGCAAUACUCUAAUACCAACCAUUACAUUCCAAUCGCGGAUCACUCAGCUUCCCCACCUAUGAUAUCUCUAGCUUAUGUAUGGAAGAAGAAUGUGAAGACCAAAACAAGCCAAGUGAAGACAAAAAUAUAUAAAUUUGUAUGGAAUUGAAAUUCUAGGGAAUGGUCCAAGUAGUCAGGUGGAAGAAGACUGAGGUGUUGAAUUUUGGUCCAUACACAGAGCCUCCCUCACAGUUUUAUAAUUCACUAAAAUAGAUUUGCAUGUUUAUUCCUCUGUUACAUUUAUGGUCCUAACUCUUUCAAAACAUUGCAUUAUAGUCUAGAAAGUUCAAUUGCUAUAAUUACUUUUUCGUUUUUCAUCUUCUUGUCAUAAUAAAUCGCAAUUAUAAUAAUUUGAAAAUAUGGAUGCAUAUUGAUGAUUCCGAUAUUGAAUUCUGGCUGUGGUCAUUGUCCCUUCAUGAAUAUUUCUAUUUGCUUUGGUGAGGUUUAAUAUAUUGAUUUAACCUAUUCGUUUAUAAAUAUGCGUAGUCAAGAGAUUGGGUUGUUGAAUCAUGAAGUGCAUUGUUCAUAGGUUAAUUGUUCGUGGAAGUAACACACUAUAAAUUUCAGCCCUUAGUUUGUCUCCAACAAUUAAAUUGAUCAGAUGCUCAUGCAAUACUAGUAAUAUGGUGCAUUUGUCACUAUAAAAUCCCGAUCAAUGUGGGACUUAUAACCGUGCCAUGUCUGAAACAACAAUGACUAUCAGUUAUGAAAAGUGUAUUGUUUUACGUACGGGGCUUGUGGGGUUUUUGUUCCAUCUGAGCCUCGAUAUGUCUUAAGAACAUAUAUCCCAAAGAUAUAGUACCCUUUUCCGGAACAUUAUAUAUGAACCAAUUCACAAAAGUUUGGAUUAUAUAGGGACCCAAGUAGCAAAGAAAAGUUAGUGUUGCUUGAUUGAUGAACUAAAUACAUCCAAAGGAGCCUUACUGUCUCCAACUAUGGGGUUUCAUUUCAUCUCUCUUUCAUUAUAAAGUAGAGAAAAUUGAAUGAGUCAUCCUCCUUUCCAUUGGCUCCUUGUGGGUUAUCCUUGUUGGUUUUGGAUUGGCCCACUCAUUGGAUUGAGAAGUUUCGUUGAUAGUGACUAAAGGUUUGAUUUUAAGGUUAGAUCGGAGAUUAAAUCAGUGAGAUAAUUAGUUCAGAAUUAAUGAUUUAAGAUGGUUAGAUCAACAUAAGCCGUCAAGGGGACAUACUCGUUUUUAUGGAGUUGUAUAUCUUGUCUCUCUUUUGUGUAUAUGACGUUCUUUGUUUUUAUAUGUACCCUUAGUGUUGACAAAUAUAUGAGUCGUCCAUCAAUAUUGUUAAUCACGUUAAUAUAAUAAGAAGAAAAAAAAACCUUUAUGCGGUACCAAUGUAGUCUUCUAAACUAUGGUUAAUUAGCUACUCAUUAUAUGAUCGAAUUAUUGCUUUAUACUCUUCGUCAAUUACGCAUCCCAUUUUUAACUACUCGCCUAGGCAAUACACUAGUAAACACAAAAUUUAGAACUUACCACAUAGCCUACCCAGCCAAACACAUAAUAACGACUCCCAAAUCAUCGUGAUAUCCCAGCUCAAACCUUGGUGGUAACAACGAACUAAUCACUUGGGUAAGUUUGAAAAUUUCACCACUAUUAUUAUGGUCCAAAAGUGAAAAAGUGCUAGCUGUGUUUUUAUGGAUUAUUCCUUGUUUGGCAAUGCACUAUUCACCCCACCCAAAAGAAUGAACCAAAUUCAUCUUUUUUCUUGGUCCACCACAGAAAGAACAAGGUGUUCUGUAAAUGAGCUAGCAUUAUUGUCUCAAUUCUUGUAACCUUUCUCCACCACCACCAAAAGAAAAGAAAAAAGUACAGUACUUUUAUCUUUGUGAUUCUUCUUCAUAUGGGUCCCUUUUGUUAAACCCUAUAUGUGCUAGUAGCUCUCUUCAUCCCCCACUUGCCCAAAAGAGGGAGGAGGAAAUGGUGUGUACCGUGCUGAGAUGGCCGAAGUAGUCGGUCUUUUCGUGGAGUUAGAAUUAGUGUUUGGAAGUCUAGGAGAUAAUAUAAUCUAGAUCGAUUGUUGGAUUUUGAAUAUUGGUCUAUUGGAUAGAAAUGCGUAUAACUGGAGAAGGGAUAAAAAGAAUCGAACAAUUACACAUAAUAUAUGACUUUACAUGGUUCAAUUCAUAUUGUCUACUUCGUACAAGGUGGACUACAUCAUUAUCAUCAGCUUCGUCUUUAAUUUCAGUCAUAAAUCUUGGACACCAUGAAAUUCGUCUCUAUAUCUAAACUUAUGCUCCACCUUAAUUAACAGGGACUAAUGAGUCGUCAUGCACGAAUAAAUACGUAUGUAUUCGUGUUUUAUCGUACAAAACAAAUCCACUCAUAUACAACACUAAUUAAGAUUAAAUAGUAUGUCCGCACACCAACUAAAUUUUUCUAAUUGUUAGCUAAAUCCUACCAUUCCCCACCUUUGUUUACCCCUAACCCUAAUUGAUUGAAAGCAAGUCCCUUUCUUAACCCUAACUUUUCUUCCUCAUUUACAAGAACUUUUCUUCAUCUCCCACACUUGGCAACUUUGUCCAAAGAGGGUAAAAGGAAACGGUGCCGUGUGGAGAUGGGAUUGGGGAUAUGGUUUUCCUUAUGGGGUUAGGAUUACCACCUUUGUAGUUAUCACUAAGGGACCCAUAUGAGUUGUUUGUUACCCAUAUAUGAAGAAAAAGAGCAAGAGAAAGGGUUGAAAGUUAGGGUUUUUGUGUGUGUAGGAUUGGUCAUUUGGGGUAGUGAAGAUUUGGUGCAAUUUGGUUGUGGGGGAUGAAAAGAUAGUUGGGGACCAAAUAGUUUCCCAAUCUUUGUGGUAGUGUAGAACCUUCAUGCAUGGUGGGGAUUUUGCCAUUUUGGUGUUUGGUUUGAGUUUUGAGUUUGCUUUUACAAAGUUCGUUUUGGUAGAGAGUACUCAUUACAUGAUUCGAUGUUUUGUUAGUUACAUGAAUUUAUGUUUUACUAGGUCUAUUAACAUACAAUAAUGGAUAAGUCAAGAUAGAUUUAUUGGUUUUCUGAGUACAUAUGUGUGUUUUUCGUUGAAGUUGAUCAUACUAUACCUCCAUAAAAUAAGCUCAAUGGAUCCCUUUUGAUUCAAACUCGUCGAGUUGGGUCUCAAAACAUCCGACAAGCCUCAACCAACAGAUUCACUUGGUAAUUAAGUUCUCACCAUCAUAUAAGUCAAAAGAUUUAACGAGUCAACUUUGGAAUAAUCAUAGUCGACUCAUUAUGUUGCCUAAUUAACAGUUUGUAAUCACUACAAAUUACCCAAAUUAUAAAAGCUCGAUGUUAAUUUAAACUCAUAACGUACUGCUGACAUGUACAAUAAAUCAACGAAAGAGAAACAAACAUCAACACUAUUUAUAUCUCUUUACAUAUUUCGACAUUGAUGAUCCAAUCUCGACCUAUAUCAUCAUUAGCUCGAUCAAAACCACUUGAGUUGGGUGGAUUUGUAAGGCACCCAAUAGACAACAAAAAACCCUAUAAAUGAAAGAGUUGUUGGUUGUGGUUUCUAUAGUAGUUUUAGUAACAUGGCGGUUUCGAGAUUAGUCGUAUUUCGAUGAGAUCAAGAGGGUAAAGUAGUCGUAUGUAGUUUAGUCCAACUACAUAUGUUUUGUCUUUUGGUUUGGAUUACAAUGAUUACGACGACCAACAACAUUGGAAGCCUCGCAUAUAGCUUUCUUGUGAAUUUGGAACUCUUAUAUAUUAUAUUACUAAUUAAGGAUGAUUAAUUAAUUAUUCAUCUUAAUUGUCUUCUAGGGGGAUANNNNNNNNNNNNNNNNNNNNNNNNNNNNNNNNNNNNNNNNNNNNNNNNNNNNNNNNNNNNNNNNNNNNNNNNNNNNNNNNNNNNNNNNNNNNNNNNNNNNNNNNNNNNNNNNNNNNNNNNNNNNNNNNNNNNNNNNNNNNNNNNNNNNNNNNNNNNNNNNNNNNNNNNNNNNNNNNNNNNNNNNNNNNNNNNNNNNNNNNNNNNNNNNNNNNNNNNNNNNNNNNNNNNNNNNNNNNNNNNNNNNNNNNNNNNNNNNNNNNNNNNNNNNNNNNNNNNNNNNNNNNNNNNNNNNNNNNNNNNNNNNNNNNNNNNNNNNNNNNNNNNNNNNNNNNNNNNNNNNNNNNNNNNNNNNNNNNNNNNNNNNNNNNNNNNNNNNNNNNNNNNNNNNNNNNNNNNNNNNNNNNNNNNNNNNNNNNNNNNNNNNNNNNNNNNNNNNNNNNNNNNNNNNNNNNNNNNNNNNNNNNNNNNNNNNNNNNNNNNNNNNNNNNNNNNNNNNNNNNNNNNNNNNNAAAUAAUUGGAUACUUAUUGACAUAAGUGGAGAAGGAAAUUAAGUGGUUGGUUUGGUAUUAUACGGCGUAUGAUGCAUACAGAAUAUGUUGGAUUCGAUGAUUGUGUGUGCAUGAAGUUAAUAAUAAUAAAUAAUAGUAAUUUCGGGUUAAUAUUUUGCUCAACUAGCUAUUGUACAUCCCACAAUAUUUAGUCUAACCCAUAAGGUCAACUAAUAUUGUAAUCUUAAAAUUAUGAGAUCACAUAUUAUUUCGACUCUCAUUCUCAUCACAUUUUCUUACCAUUAUUAUUUUCCGGAAUUCAUUUGGCAUCCACUCUCAUCAACAAACGCCUUAAUUCAGCAAUUUACAUACCUCCAUCUUCAUUAACAGUCGAGGAUUAUUAAACCUGACAAAUGACUAUAAAAUAUUAUAUAUUUUUAUUUAAGUUAAAUAUUUCAAAAUUCGACUCAAUCUGUCUCAAUUUUUGAAAUAAUCGUGAGGUUGAGAACUUUUCCUCUACGAUUCAUAUAAACAAUUCUAUCUAUUACGCUUUUGAUAUGAAAAAUCUAACACUUCUCCCUCUCAAUGCUUAUGUCCUUUUAUUCGAUUCUUUUGAAAUACCAUUCAUCUAAUAUUGAAGAGCUCCCUCUUUGUGCCUAUCAACCUACACCAACCUAUAUUCCUCCCACCAUUGCUUGAUUAGUUAUCGUACACCCUCAACUACUAGCCUAACUGAUAAGUGUGUCAAUCAGUGUUGUAAUCUAAAAAUUAUGAAUUCAAAUAAUACUAAUUUUAACUAUCAUUCUCGUUAACUUUUUCCUCCAUCACUAUCCAGUAUCGUCAAUUUGGACUGUAAAUUGCCUGUUAGCACAUAAUCUGAAUUAUUCCAUAAUAACAACUUUUUCAUUCUGAUAUUCCACAAUUUACUAUCUAUUCAUAUUUCAUUCUACAUUCAAUAAAAUAUAAGAAAUAAUAAAUUAUCUUCCUAUUUUCUGUUAUUGAAAUAAAAUGGAAAACUAGAAAAAAGAAAAUAGGAAAUAGUGGCGGGGGGGGGGGGCAUCAACCAAAUUACUCCAAAAUAAUAUAUCUUUUCAAUUCUAUAUUCAUAAGAAAUACCAUUCUUGAUAAGGUAAUAUAAAUAAUAAAUUAUCUUCCUAUUUUCUAUUAUUGCAAUAAAAUGAGAAAAUCAUAGAAAAAAAUAGGAAAUAGUGGCGGUGACGUGGCCCGGAAAAAUGCUCUCAGACGGACCCCGUUUUGGCAUCUUUCUAUUCAGCCGCACGCACGGAAAGCGCCUUUGUAAUUAUCCCCUUUGCCCCCGUAAUCAAUUAUCUCCCGUAAUAAGUAUUUUUCUUGUAUUUAAAUUAUUUAUACGGUGCAAGUGGCCACGUAUACAUACCAGUAUACGGACACAUGCACCCGUAUUCCACCGUGAAAAUUACUCAAAUACUCUCAACGUAAGGCUCACUCAAUACGUACACAUGUACUCGAAUUCAGAAUACUAUUGGAUGAAAAUCCACGUAUAAAUGUACAAAAUUUCAGAAAACGUUUCAAAAUAUAAAUCCAUAGACUGCUUAGUUUGCAUGAAUAUGCUCUGGUAGGAGUAGCGUAAGAUCCAUGAUGUUAAAUAUAUUUGCCUGUAUUGUUUAUAAGUUAAAAAUACAUUUAGACUAUGAAAAUACACUAAUUUAUCUAUACAUACGAAUAAUGUAUUCACAAAUAUGCUUAGUUCUGGUCUGUGAAGGCUAUGCCAUACCGGCCACUACAUAAGACUCGUGAUGUAUAAUUCGUAUAAGUGCAACUCCCUCCCGCGAUUUGGUCCACACUCCAUAAAACCCAACAUGGAUAUUAAUGCUUUAGUAGGAGUAACAUUGGAUCCAUGAUGUUCCAUAUAAGUGUUUGUCUACAUUGUUUAUAAAUUAAAAUACACUAAUUCAUUGAUAAAUAAAUAAAAAAUUAUAUAUUAAGUUCUAUAUUCAAAAAUAAGAUUAAUUGUAGUUCAAAAAGGUUCCUUUGUAUCAGUCACUGAAUAAGACAAAUGAUGUACAAUUUGUAUAAGUGGGACUCACUCGCCCGAUCUGGUCCAUACUCCAUAGAUCUGACAACUCCUCUCCUUUAUACCAGAGCUUCGUCUCCAAACAGUUCGUUGGUCAGGUAACGGAACCACCCAUUCAGUGACAACCCUAAUUCUUAGAUAUCUUCUAGGAGUAUUGUUAGCAAUCCUUCUCGUUUGAGUUGAUUUAAACUUGUGUAUGUAUGUUGUAUUAUUCUCUCUGCAAUGAGCUAUCUGAGUCGAGAAAAAAGUACCCGAACUGGUCGAGACACAUUGCCAUCCCGGGCCGGGUAGAAGCUUGGUUUACACGUUUGACCUUUUCCGCCAAAAAAAAUCUUCCAAAUAUAAAUAUAAAAAAACAGAUUUAAAUAAUUUUCCAAUUUUUCUCCUCGCGUCAGUAGGACCCACUCCCGCGCAACAGUUAUCUUUCGGCCGCUCAACUUUGUCCUUUCUGCACGGCGCACGUUAGCCCACAGCCCCUUUAAACUGCACCCUCCCGUCUUUAUCCUGCACCCCUCCCCUGUCUCUCCCAUUUUCUUGUGAGAUUUUUUCCCAUCUUUUUUUUACCAAAUACCUUCUCCCCAUUCUUCUUUCAACGCUUGUCUCCCGAAUCCAAGCCGAUUUUUAUCCACCAAUUCGUAGCUUACACAUCCGUCUCAUUUCCCAGCUGGGUUUUAGCUCUGAUCCAGCUAGCUGAAAACCCAAAGUGAUCUUAAGAUUCCAAGUUAAGUAAAGUCGAAGGAAACCAUUUCUCGCUGCGUUUUUAAACAGAAAUCGAUUUGGGUCAGGGGGGAAGAGCCGAAGAGGAUGGUGAAGAGUAAUGAAGUCACUACCGUCAAUGAAAGCAAGGUCAGUCUUCAGUCCUCAGCUCAGCUCAUUCUUCUUUCUAGUUGUUGUGAAAUGAAUGAGUGACGACGAUCCGUUGUUGUUUGUGAUUAGGCGAUGGAAAAGAUUGUGUUUUUUUCAGAUGUGGGUUUGUGGUUAGAUUGUCUGUUUCGAUGUUCUGGAUAUUUACUCUGUUUGAUUCAGUUUUUGAAAUAUGGGUCUUUGUUUGCUUGUAAGGAUUUGGAAAUGGGUUGAAAGGAACAUGUUUGUUUGUAAAUAGAAGGAUUGUUUGAUUGAGUUUUCAGUCAAAAUCUUGUGCAGAAAGUAAACCAAGUAUUUGGGAAUCCGUGGUUUCAAAUCCUUGAGAAUCCUUUGCAAUUAAAAGAAGGCCUUAUUUUGCUUAUAAGUAUUUGGAUAGGUUGAAGAACAUGUCUUUGUUAAUAGAAGGAUUGUUUAAUUAAGUUUUUACUCAAACUCUUGUGAAGAAACUACAUUUGAGAUUCCGUGGUUUGAAAUCCUUGAGAAUCCAUUGCAACCAAACAAGGCCUUAUUUGCUUAUAAGGAUUUGGAAAUAGGUUGAGAAGCAUGCGUCUUUGUAUAAGUUUUACUUAAAAAUCUUGUGAAGAAACUAGGUAUUUGGGAAUCCAUGGCAACCAAACAAGGCCUUAAGUGAAAUCCUUUUGCUUCUGUGGUGCAGAUGGUAGUGCCUUUGAAUACAUGGGUACUGAUAUCAAACUUCAAGCUAGCUUAUAAUCUGCUCCGUAGGCCGGAUGGAACGUUCAACCGGCAUUUGGCGGAGUUCCUUGACAGGAAAGUUGCUGCGAAUGCGAACCCCGUUGAUGGGGUCUUCUCGUUCGAUGUUAUUGUCGAUCGUGCCACAAAUCUGCUUUGCAGGAUCUACAGACCUUCCAAUGGGGAAGAACAGUUGAAUGUGGCCGAACUCGAAAAGCCGGUGAAGUCUGCUGAUAAUGAUGAUGUUGUGCCAGUCAUUGUGUUCUUCCAUGGAGGAAGCUUUGCACAUUCGUCAGCAAACAGUGCCAUCUACGAUACCUUAUGUCGAAGGCUGGUGGGUCUUUGCAACGCGGUGGUGGUCUCGGUGAAUUAUAGGCGAGCACCAGAGCACCGGUAUCCAUCUGCUUACGAUGAUGGCUGGACGGCUCUCAACUGGGUUAAAUCCAGAACAUGGCUGGAGAGUAGUAAAAGUUCCAAAGUUCACAUCUUUUUAGCUGGAGAUAGUUCGGGUGGGAACAUAGCUCACCACGUGGCUUUACGAGCUGCUGAAUCGGAGAUCGAGAUACAGGGCAACAUGUUACUGAACCCGAUGUUUGGAGGGGAAGUGAGGACCGAAUCGGAGAUGAGGCUUGACGGGAAGUACUUUGUUUCCGUCCAGGAUAGGGACUGGUAUUGGAGAGCGUUUCUCCCUGAUGGAGCUGAUAGGGACCAUCCAGCUUGCAAUCCAUUCGGUCCAAAAGCUACGAGCCUCGAAGGAACGAAGCUAUUCCCCAAGAGCUUCGUUGUUAUAGCUGGCUUGGAUUUGGUCCAGGACUGGCAGUUGGCUUACGUGGAAGGACUUAAGAAGGCUGGAAAGGAUGUGAAGUUUCUGUAUCUCGAGAAGGCGACGAUAGGGUUCUACUUGUUGCCGAAUAAUGCUCAUUUCCAUACUGUGAUGGACGAGAUUCAGCAAUUCGUGAGAUCUAACUGUUGAUAUAGAACCCACCAAACUUUUUUUACAGGUGACAGGAAGCUUAGCUUGAUUUGUUUUCUUUUCUUUUCCUUCCACUUUGCUGUUGAUAUAUGAUUGUGUAGUAUUGCUGCUGCUGCUGCUUACUGUUCCAUUGAGAACUCACUCUGUUGUUCUUCUUCCCUUCUGGCUUCUUUCAUCAUCCAUGAAGGAUAUUAGGUUUUUCUACUAUGAAUGCAGGAAGUGUGACCUAGCAUCUAGCUGGCUCAGGAAUGUGUUCUGUUGUUAUACUCUCUGACCGGUUGCUAGACCUUUUCUCCGGCGAGGGGAACUGUUUCUGCAGACUGACAGAGAAGAUACUCCCCAUGAAGAAAGUGGGGAGAAGCUAGGGUUUUUUACUUUGUUGUAGUUGGUAUCUGGCUAAUGUUAGAACUCUGGAUCUUAGAAAGACUCAUCCUUUGUAGUUUUUUUCUGUCAUUGUAAGUUUUCUACACAGACGCAGAAGUAUAUAUAUAUAUUAUAAGAAAGAUGUUUCCUUUUUUUGCUUUGCUGUUAUUCUAUUGGACACAGUUCGCAUGAUUUUCGUUGCAGAAUAGGAACAUCUGCAGGUGAAUGAUCCUAAAAUUGGCCCGACCCGGUUCGAUCUGGGGCUCUUGAAUCUGAUUGAUCAGAAAUCGACAAGUUGAAAAACAUAUGAACCGACCGUAAAACCUGCAACCCAAUUGAUUAUAACUUGUGAUUUGAAUAACCCACUUACAAUCCACCCGUUUGGUAGUUCUAAGUGCUAGUGCUUGAAUAAACUCUAAUUUUUCGGUUAAAGCGUUUACUCAUGAUUGUGAAAUGGCAUCGAAACCUCCAGCCAAGCUGUAUCGAUUCAGUCUCCAACAUGUGAUUGAAUGAAUACAGCCCGAGUAAUACACCACUUGAAUUCAAGCUCGGCCGAUGAAUACCUGUAUUUGAGUUCGAAUUCGAGUCGGAAUUAGGUGAAGGAACCUGAAAACGUGCACCCUUGUGAUCCACUUAUAGGUUACCAGGUGCAAUGUAUUUACUGUAUGGAAUUAAGUUAAAGAGUCCCCACUCCUUUUGUAAUUAUUGGGGGGGGGGGGGGGGGGGGGGCCCUUCCCCCCUUUGUUCAUCAUUAUUGAGGCCCUUCCUACACCCCCCCUUUCUCACACCCCCUUAUUCAAUUUUUGUUAAAAAAAUCCCUAAUUUUGUUCAAUUCAAUUUGGGGCUUUACAAAAUUACAAAAAGUCUCAGCCUUUGUGGAAGGUGCCCAAAUUUUUCCUAGUGGGUGGUUGGGAAUUUUUCCUUGCAAUCUGGCACACAAUCGUUUCAUCACUAAGCACAUUAAUUCAUCACUGGGUUUAGUACCAUAAUUAGACAUGUACCGUGUUUCCCUAAUACCAUAGGAUACCAGGCGGUGACUCGAUUCAACCUCAAACCGAUCCUCAAGCUGGUUCAACAUAGUUCAUUCACGAUUCAAAAACGGUUUAUGGAAGCAAACCACUAUAUAGUUAGCCUCACGGGUUUGAACCAAAUUGGUCAUCAAAACCCGUGACCCAAUUCAAUCACGAACCGAUCAUCAAGCCGGUUCAACAUAGUUCAUCUGCGGUUCAAUAACGGUUUGUGCAAGCUAACCACUACAUAUCGUUAGCCGCCGUGACAACCAAAUUGAUCAUCAAAACUCGUGUGCUUCAACAUGCUUCCAUAACAGUUCAUGUGAUUAGACGGUAAUAUAUCAUUGACCUCACCGAUUUGAUUUUGAUGUCUAGUGGAUACAUAGUAAGACACUUGUCAGAUUCAUUUGAAAAGGAAAGAUGAGAUGUUUGCCGAGUCAGCAGUCCAGAAGCAAUGAACCCAGAUGAAGAACAUUACAGACAAAAUCACAGAGCAGUAAGAUUCUCAACACUUUUAUUUCAGAAACUCAGAAUCCCAUUCAUUCAGCAAAAACACAGCUCAAAAGUAAACAUCUUGAGUAAGAUGUUGUUGGUCAUAUGGGUUCUCUCUCAAGUUCUGAACAAAAUCAAACGAAAGUUAGGCUUCUUCAUAUGGCUCUCUGUAUCAAAAUUCUCUUAACGCACCUUGAAAGCGAAGGCAAGGGAAGCAGCGGCGAGCAAGGUCGUGACUGAAGAAACCAUUGCCCAGAUGCCCUUCUUCCUCUCCGCUUCUGCAACGGAUUCCUCGAGAGAUGUCACCUGCAGAUUCUUCUUCACCAGCAAUGCUUCCUUCUCUCUGAACGAUCCCCUAACGUUUUCCACCAGCUCUUUGAGUUCCUUGCCAUUGCCAUUGCUGCUGCUAUCAUCAUCCUGAGGGAGCAGUGAUGCCACCAAGCGUAGCUUGCUCGUCAGAUCGCCGUUUUGAUCGGAGAGCCUCUUCUGAGUUGCAGAGCUCUCCUUCUUCAACUGGUUGAGUUCGAACUCCAGUGAUUUCUUAACCUCCAUUAGAUUCUUCUGUUCGAUCUUAGCCUUCUCCAGCUUCUGUAGUCCGUCUUCAGUCCUUUUCUCCAUCUCUUGAACUAAAGCUUUCAGCUUCGACCCUUCAUUAGUUUCCUGAUCAAGAAGCUUCUUUAGCUCUUCUUUCUCAAUUCUCACUUGCUGAAGCUCAUCUCUGAACUUACUGGAUUCAAUGCCUAACUCACUGUUCUUUUCUUCUUGAACCUUGAGAGAGUCUUUCAGUCGAAGAACUGAUUCGUUCAACUCGCUGACAUUGCUCUGCAACUCCAUGAUCUCACUCUCCUUCCUCUUGGAGAUCCUCUCGAUCUCGGAUUUCUCGCUCGACAGCUUCUGAAUCAGCUCGUUCUUCAGCUCCAGUUCAGCAUUCACAGACUCGAUAGUCUUCUCCGAAGAGCUCUUCUCCUCUGUUAACUCUUCAAUCCUCUUGCUAUUCUGAAUCAUUUCUUCCGUCAAUAAAUCAAACUUCAGCCCAAAAGCUUUCUCCUUCUCAAUUGCUUCACCGUACACCUUCUCCAGAUACACUACCUUCUCACUCAAACUUCCAUUUUCGCUCCUCAAGCUCAGCAAAUCAGUGUUCAGUCCUUCAAAAUCUUUCUCCAAGAACUCUAUCUUGAAAACCUGAUCACUCCUCUCUUUCUCAAUCCGCUCAAUCUCAACCUUCAACGCUCCAAUCUCCUCAGCCUUCUCAGCCAGACUCCUCUCGUUGGACACCCUAAUCCUUUCAAUCCGAUCAAUUUCUUUCUCCGAAUCCUUCUUCUGCUUCACCAACUCUUCAACCUCCUUCGUCAGUCCAAGAAUCUCGUCCUCGUUCUCCUUCCCUUUCUUCUCCAUCUCCUUCACUAUCACCUUCAACCUUUCCCCUUCCAGAAUCUGCUCAUCGAGCUGGCUCUUAAUCGCAUCCUUCUCCGUACAAAUCUUGCUCAGCUUAACCUUCUCGUCCUCCACCUCAGCAGUCAAUCGCUCGAUCACCUCCAUUUCUCCAAGAACAGUGAAGGCCACCUCACGCUCGAUCUCCGAACGGAUGCUCCCCUCGGUUGCACUUCCCAGCUCCUUCACCUCCGCCACCAAUUGCUUCUUCUCCGUCUCGAGAGCCUCCAUCUUCCGCCUCUUAUCCGCAACGUCCUGCACCAGCAUCUUGUUCAGCUUCUGCAGAUUCUGGAACUCGGAAUCAACUUCCAAGGAGGAAGUUUUUGCCGCCGCCGGAGGAGGCGGAGGCGGUAGGUGUGGUUGUUCCGCCAUUGCUAGGACUGCUGACUGCUCCAACUGUGGCGGCGGCGGCGAGUGGUUCUGGUUCUGGUUCUGGUUCUGGUCCAGAUUCAGAGUGUCGUCGUUCUCAGUCUUGGAGUGGGUCUUCUUCUUCGCCAUUUCUUGAACUGGAUUCAGUUUCUUUCGAGUUUUGUGUGGCGGUGGUGGAUUGAUUGGAUUACAGUGAGUGGAGGGAAAUUGGAAAUGUGUGGUGAAUGGGUUCGUUGGAUUGUAAAGUUGUGAUCUUUAGGGUUAGGGUUCUUCGCUGGGGGGUUUAUACGGCGGAGAUUGAAAAUGGGAAAUGGCGAUUGGAUAUCGGGAAUUUAAUGGCUCGAAACUCGAGAUGAGCGGGAAAGUUGUUACGGCUGUUUGUUAGUUUCGCGUCGUAACGGCAGUUAUUCAUGGGCUCGGAUAAGAAGGCCUGGGCUUUGAUUGUUGGACAGUGGAUCGUUUUAGCGGAUAGUUUCUAGGUGGGCUGGGCUGGAAUUAUCGAGGGGCCGGGAUUAAGUUGUUUCGACUUCGGUUUGAUUGUGAAGCGGUAAGAAACUUAAGAUACGAAAAGAGUUGCAGGCAUUAAGAGAUAAUAUUUGAUCGAGAUGGAAUCUAACUUGGCAGUUCAAUUUGUCAAUUCUGUAGAUACUAUUGGCCUCCAAUGGAGGCUCUUAUCAAUGGCGGGAUUAUGAGGUAAUAACAUCAAUCAUGUGACUAACUUUGUUGCUGACGCUUUAGUAAAACCUGGACAUACAGAGGGGAUUGGGGAAACCUGACUUCCUCUCCCUCCCACUAUGUUGCGGAAAUUACUGGAUGACGAUCGUAAUGGAAGAAGAUAUUUGAGGGGUAUAAUCCAAAAGAGAAUGGAGGCCAAGAUGGCUUACACACUUUAAUUUUCGGUUCUUCCUUUCUGUUUCAUACCAAAAAAAAUUUAAGAUACGAGCGGUUAGAUUUAAUGAAUUUGGUUUAGUUUUUCAUAGUAUUAAGUUGAGCUUACGAGUUUUAGGUUUGAGUAACCGAACCAGAUUGUAGUCUAAGUUUAGAUGUCUAUUAUGAGUUUUUGAGUUUAUUAUAACCAAAUCAAGAUGGGUAUCAUUUCAGUUUGAUUUACAAAUUAAAAAAUGAGAUAAAUCAUUUUCAUCUUAUUGACUUAUCCUAGUCUCAUCUUAUCCAAACCUAAUGAGAUAUUAACCUUAGAAUUAGUAAGGAUAAUUAAGGUGGUUUGAUUACCCAAGGAACAUGAGGGUCAUGUGCUAAUAUAUGAAAGAAGUUGACUUUAUUUUCUUCCCAAAAGAGAAGUGUUGGGGUAGACAAUCACAUUCAUUGAAUCUAUGGAAUCAUUACUAAUAUUAAAAAUUAUUAUUAAUAAACUAUAUAAUGGCACUAUAUCACUAAUCAUUUUAAAUACCACCAAGCUCGUCAAUAUUGGGAAGAUGAAAAUGUAGAUAUCAAAUUAUAACUAAACAUUCAUAUUCUUCCUUUUGCUUACUAAGCAUCACCACCAGCUGCCAAAACUUGCCUUUCAAUCUACAUUCAUUAACAAAAACCAUAGUUAAAACAUGCCCAGUUCGAAGUUUCGAAUUUCAUUUACUCCUCUUGAACUUACUUUGAACAAAGUUUCGAGCUUGUUCUUCACUAGCACGUACUCGAUUUUCACUUGUUGAAGACAUUUCCGACAUACUCAAUCUUCACUCGUUGAAGACAUUUCCGGCAUCUUUCGGCAUAACAAUGGGACAAAAGAAUCAUAAGUUUCGUCUCGAACAUUUUCAUAAGAAAAUUGUAAUUUUUUAUUAAUUACUACUCAUUACCCUUCAGAAUUCUGUUCUUCACAGUGAUUUCGAAGAUCAAUGCAAGCCUUUUGAACCCUUUGAGCUCCAAUGCUGCCACAACAAUUUUUACAAAAUAUAAAUUAUUAACCAUCUAAUACAAAAUAAAUAGGUUAAAUUUGUCCUUUAAUAAUUUACCUAGAACUACUGCCCUUCAAUUGGUGGACAUGGGCAUCAAUCUUCUUGAAAUCAAUGCUUUGUUGCUCUCUGUAGAAACAAGUGUAAUUAAGUAAGUACACUCUAAUCUCCUCCGAAAUCUCAAAAAUUUACUCUCGAGUCGAAACGAAAAAUCGAGAAUCGACAAUGUGGGUUGUUAUUUGCUUCCACUCACAAGGAAUUAGCAAGCUCAUUGAUGAGCCUCUCAGAGUCUUCAAAGAAGAGGGAGACAACUUCCACAACAAACUCAGGGUUGCUCUCAUCUUGGAGGCUUUGGAGUUGAGUGAAUUGGUCAUCCAAGAUUCCCUUUUGUUACAAAAUCACCCCAAAAGUGAAAUACCAGCAAACAUGAGCUAGAUGACAUGCACGAAGUUGGAUGAAAUAUCGAGCAUUUUAGAGAAAAAUUAAAUUAGAUCUCGUUUUAAAGUGAUUUCGGGAGCAAAUUUUCGUGUGUCAUUGAACUUUUCACCAGUGAAACCAAGCUACCGGCAUUAAGGGAAUAUGGAAGUGUUUACUAACCUCUUGGAAUAGUGAAGCUGUGUAGUCAACCAAUUGCCUCUGCAACUGAACCACACCAUCCAUUGGAGCAAGGUGAAGAAAACCCACAAAGCAAAAUUGAGCCUUUUGGCUUAGAUCUUCACUUCCACUGAUGAAGAAGGAAGCAAGGAAGGAGAGAGAGUUGAUGGGUUUCUAUGAAGUGUGGUAAGGAUGGUUGCUUUUAUAGGAUAGUAAUAACAGAGGUUUGAAGGUGUUGAAUAGUUUACAAAUGGGAAGGUGUGAGAGAAAGAAAGAUUGUUGGGUUUUGUUUUUGAAUAAUAAGAUACGGUUAUGAAGUGGUUAAGUGAUUGUUGGCCUAUGUAUUCGCUACAAUAGACGUGAAUUCGUGUAUAUAUGAUUGAUGUUUCAGUUUGUUUGUAAGAGAAUUUGAUAUUGACGUUAAAUUUUAACGAGUUUGAUAAAAUUGUAUUAAACCAUUAAAUUUAUAGUUGAUGUUAAAUCGAAAUUGAUAAGGGUGAUUUUAUCGAUCUAUCAAUAAAAGAAUAUUAUUAUACUUUGUUUGAUAGCAGAAUCAAAUGAUAUAAANNNNNNNNNNNNNNNNNNNNNNNNNNNNNNNNNNNNNNNNNNNNNNNNNNNUGUAAGAAUUUCACCAAAAAUUAAUGACACUUAUGAUUUAAUAAUUAAUUAUAAACUCGUAAAAAUAAUGUGCAACCUAUAUAGUCUGAAAUAAAUCAUAAUAAUAAAUUUAAAACUUCAUUUUUAAUGUGUCAUUCAGCUUUUUUGGAUUAUGCUGCAACUCUGUUAUAGAUUUAUUUUAAAUUUAAAAGCUCCAAUAAUAUUAUAUAUUUAAUUCAAUAUAUCUUUAUGACUAGUUAUUAGUGACAAAUCUAAACGAACUUUUUUCGAUUUAAGACUCUAAUAAUAACUAUCUUUCUCAUAUAAUCGAUGUUCAAUAAAAUAUUUUAAUAAACAAAUUUUCAUUCUCCUCUUAACUCAGUGCCUCUAAAACCAUCCCAAAUCUGUCGGGACUUGACUCUAGUGGUUUAAAAUUAUGGUUGAAAUCAAGCCACUAUAUCAUUAGAGAAGAUAUGAGUUGGAAUUGAUGAAAGCUUAGCUUAGCCUCAAUAUUUGCCACAGAACAUGAUGAAUGGGAGCCAAGGUGGAGAGAUCUUUGAAGUCUUGACAACUAGUACUAGAAUCCAAAGACCAAACUAGUACACGUUACUCUCUAUUUCAACUUGUCUUAUAUGUUGUCGUCAUUUAUGAUUGGCCAAAUCAAUUAUAACAAUGUGGAAAAAACUGUCUUAUCAUUAAAUAAGAUACCUUUGAGAGACCCAUAUGUUUGAUUCCCAUUUUAACCCCCCCAUCUUUUGUAGUUUACUACACACAUUGGCAUGUUUGAGUAUUCAUAAGGGGUUGGAUGCACAAGUGAGGUAUUAACCAUAUAUGUAAAAAAACAUAGAUGGUACAUUGGUACAUGUACCUAUUAGCCUAGCUGUAUAUCUUAGGCACAUGUACCACUUUGACAUUGAGACAUCGUUUUCAUUAUGUGGGUAAGGACAAGUGUCAAGAAUUUAGGGUUGGGGCCUUGCAAAUUUUCAUAAGUUGGAAUCAUAAUUUGGGCAUCCAAUGAUGUCUUAUAGGUCCAUUGACUUAUACUCUAAAAUAAAACAUGCAAAAUGAAUAGUAGAACUCCUAGCUACUUUUCACCCUUUCUUUUUAAGUCCUACCAAACUUGUUGGAUACAAAAUGAGUGGUGGUUUAGUGAGUUUCUAUCAGAAUUAUUGGAUCCACUUAUUUCGUUGUAAACACUUUUAUUUAUAAGUAACUAAGUUUAAAAAUUUGGAAUUAACAUUUUACAUCUCAUAUAUAUAUUUUACUAUUUCUCUCGAUAUCAUAGAUGUCAUUGGAUUACAAAAAAAAAUUGUUUUAAUGUGGUGUUCAUCACGAUCCACCAAAAUUUUAAAGGUGAGACUUCGAGUUAGAAACUUGAUUGAAUUGUACACAUAGUAACUUGCUUAUGUAUUGCUUUGAAGCAUCUCCAAUUGGUUAAAUAUGAUAUGAUGAUUAUUAAUUAACUUAAAAGCAUAAUCCCACCCCACGCAACCAAAUAAACCCAUUUCAGGAAAUGAAAUAAUAUAUAAUAAGCUUUUGUCAAAUAAUUCCAUAUUAUUGUUAUCAAAUAAUUCCAUAUUAUUAUCGAAUAUUUUUUUAUAUAUACAAUUUCAAUAAUGUUGUCUCUUAUUUGAUCGUUAAGUAUGAACUCUAUAAGUUUCGACUCAAUCCAAAUGAGGUCCAUGACCUUGUCUCCAUCGUUGGACCAAACUAUCUCGAAAUCCACAAAUGUAACCAAAAUUUUCAACAAUGUAGAGUAUCAUUCCGAUGUAACAACUCAACUUGAAUAGUGUAGUCAAUAGUGUUAUUCAUAUGUCACAAGUUGAAUAGCCCCUCCCUCUCUCAUUGUCUAUGUGAUUGAUCAUCAACACUGUUUUGAGAGUGACUUAUUCUUUGGGUUGUUUGUGGAGUCCCAUCACCCUCUCUAAUCCAUAACAUCAGUGCCUAUCAUCAAUAUUUCAUCACAUACCCUUCUUCGCGAGCCCUCCCUCGAACUUGCUACUCCAAUCGUCGAAGCCUUCGUUCCACUAAUCUCAUUUGGCUUGGAUAGUUCACGGUACCUUCCACACCAAAGUUCUUCAAUCCCUCACAUUUGGCUCUAAUCGAUUUUCCCGACUUCUGUUUCGAUUCAACUCUGGAUAGAGAUGAGGAAAGAACACCAAGAUUAAUACCAAGAUGAUGACUGGACAAUGCUUAUCUUUGAACACUUUCCCCACUUUGAUUGAAAGAAUAGUUUUACACGGCACAAAUCAAAGAAGCUAUAUAUAUCCUGUGCAAGUUUUCAUGGAAUUUACAGUAUGUACACUAGAAUCAAAUGCAUGAUCAGUCAGGAUAGCCAUUCUCCCCACACCGAGAGCUAAAAACUGCUCGUAAUGUCACCCGUUCGCUCGAUCAAUCACAUUUAACCUGUUACAGCAACAAGCAAAGGCUUAAAAACAGCUUUCCACAGAUCACAUUGAAAUGUUACAUAAUAAGAUCUUAUGUUUUUGUUCAAGAUUGUUUUUUACCUUCCUCUGAGAAAAGAAAAACCCCUCCAUGCAUGUCAUCAUCCUCUUCAUCAGGGCUGUUCUCGAGAUCGGCAGCUGAUUCGGGGGGACGUUCAGAUUUACAGUAUCCCUCCUGGAAAACCUGCUCGAAAUCGGGGGACUCACUCGCCAUCCCUUCGUCGAUCAGGUUUGCGCUUAGAUCAGAACGGUUGGAGCUUGACGAUGUGCUGGUCAGAGCACUGGCUGAUGACGAAGACUGGCCUUCGACUCCCAUAUGAGAAGGUGAGCUGUUUGUUAAAGACGCUAUUUCACUAUGUACAGAGUUGCUGUCGUCAGCAGGAGAAAGGCUCAUUGGAGAAGGCUUAUUAGUUGGGGAUGCCAAACCAGAAAUCACUCGUCCUCCUCCAAAUUUUUCUCGAGGAUGUUGAGCUGAUAUGUACAAGUUAGCUAACGAGCCUGAACGGGAAAUGGCAAUGUUAGGAUAAACAACAGUAGAAGGGCAUAACUUUAAAAAAUCUAUUCACUACUUGGGGUUUGAGAAGCUUGCAUACCAGUUUCUGAGUUUGCAUUAGAGCUUGAUGAAAUCAUCUUAUGCUGUAAAACCGUAGGAACAGUAGAUCCAGAUCCAGUAGAAAUGGUGGAUCUUUCCCUCCGAAGUCCCCUGCACAAGGAUAAAUGAUAACAAAAGUUCGUAACUUUCAAAGAUGCCAUGAUGUGAUGAACUCGCAGGACAAGCAUAAUCAAACGUUCAGGAGAAAAAAAAAGAGUUUCCAUGAGAUGAUUCUUCUCCGUUCCUAAAAUCUCAGUAGUGAACAAGAAUUCAGAAUAGUGACUUCAUAAACUGCUAUUAGCCAAAAUCUCAGUAAAUUAUGAAAGCAGUAGACGCAUAAUAAACAGAAGAAACAGCAGACUUACCGGUCGCUCCAAUCAGCAAUUCUGUGGAAAUUGUCGAAAACAGGCAGUAGAUCCUUCCUCCUGAUUUCACUUUCAUGGCAUUGAACCUCCUCAAUUGCAGUUUCUCCACUGGAAUCAUCAGCGGCAUUCUGGUCAUCAGCUCCAAUGCCAUCAAUUGCAUGGAAGUAGACCUACUCCAUAAUGGACAAAUGUGAGCAAACUAGGAGGAAAUUCUUACCAGUUGUGUCAUAAUAUCAAUACCUUAGAUUUCUGCCAGAGAGGUGUUCUCCAGGGGCUUAUCUGCACUUCGGCAUUAGCAAGAUAUAAGCGAGACUGCUCAUGUGAUUUUACCAAGUCCAUAUUCCUUGUAGCAUUAUUUCGGUAAUCAGAAGCCUCUGCAGCAUUCCUGCUCCCAUUAUCUGCAGAAUCAGAAGUAUCCAUGGCCACUUCUGUGUUUCCAUGCCUGCUAUGAGCGAGUCCAGACACAUACUCCUCUCUUUCUGGCCAAUCUAUUCUUCUGCAAACAUCCCACCACUGCACAGACUCGGUUUUGACUCGCAGUUCCUCGUCUGGUGUCUGCAGUGAAGAACCUAGUCCAGUUCUUUGAGGACCUUCACUAGGUUCUGUCCCAACUGAAGACACCAAUUUGUAUUGGACUACAUGGCCGGAUGGAGUAUACGCUAAAAGGUGGUCCAGGGCAUUAGAUUUCUUCAAAUGCGAAGGUCGUGAAUCUUGUGGUACACAGUUGUGAUAGACGGCAGCAACAGCACCUGACGGUAUCAAGGCCUUUCCUGAAACAGACGAUGCCGGCCUCGCAACCGGAUGCAGCACUGCUAACUGUGUUUAGCCAGCCAGAAUUACUCUUUCUUCGAGCCACCACAGAAAGAGUAACAGGUGGUGGUGGUGGGGAUUCAGAGAAGGAUUGUGCGUUCGCUUGGAACCAUGGAGUUGACCACCAUGGUAGCGAUAAAACCGGUGAAAGGACUGGUCCAUCCACGUCAGAGUUCUGUAAUUGGAGAACAUUCUCACCACCAAACGGUGAAAGUGCAAAAAUAUGGCAGGUUCCCCUGGAUGAAGUUAUGGCAACCCACUGACUAUAACUGCUGAAGCAAAUAUCCUGUAUCACCUGGUUGAACAAAUACAUAAAACGCAGAAGAAAAUGAAUCACCUCAGUCUGUACCAUCUUUGCAUCAAGCUAGCUCAUUGAAAAAUCAAAGGGAGGAAAAAUUGCAACAUACCGCAGAAGUAAUGCCCCUAUGAAGCUUGUAAAGGUGCACAUGAGAAGAGCUCCAUUUGAAACUCUUUGCACCUGAGCCACCAGCAACAGCAGAAGGCAUGAUCCGGAAAAUGUUUAUGUUGUGUCCAUGAAUUGAUGCGGUAACCAAUAGUGUACCACUCGGAUCAAAACAUAGAGCAGAAAUGGGACUUGUAUGAGCUCUAAAUUGCGAAAUCACAGCUCUUGUAACAAAAUCUCUCACAACAACCUACAACAUUGAUAUAGAAUUGAGUAAGACUUGAUUGAUUAAUAACAUAUAAAAUAUAUGCAUCGAAUUGUACCUUAGGAAAUCCAGGAAAUUCCUCUAGCGCUUAGUAUAUGCCUAAACUACCUAACCUCGCUAUGCAUCUCAGUGGAUUUCUUGAAAAGAAUAGCUUAAAUAGAUGGAAAAAAGAAAACGCAAGACCAAAGCUUAUUAGCACUGACCGUUCCAGCAAUAUCAGCUUCAGCUGAAUGAGGUGCAACCCAUCCUUUCCGGCUAGAAUUUGGAGAGACAGGGGAGCUAGAACCAUCAGCAACGAAAUCUUGACAGUAUCUAGACAAUGUCUUGUAGCCCAUAUCACCUAAACUCAUCAACCCACUAGCUAAAUGCUUGCUAGAUUCCAUGGCAUAGCGAGCUACUAGAUUGGCAUUGCCAGGUGAAGUUGAUGGACUGACACCCAUGGAAGGCGUAAGACACUGUGGACUUAGGCGGCCAGUAUUAGAUACCAACGGAUUGUCAGAAGCAUAAGCUAUCCAUCUAGGCCCCACAGCCAUUGGGCCAUACCCCGGGUUAGCCAUAAUCCCUCCUUGGCCAGCCAAUUGUGGGACAGGAUAUGUGAGCACACUGAACUUGUUCUCUAGAGUGAGAGCAUCAAAGCAGUAUAUCUGCAGCAGAAAGUCCAACGAGCCUUUAGCAAAUCGCAAGCUUUAUAGACAAUAUGGAUGUGUUUAACAACAAGAUAACAGCAAAGUCUAGAGUUUGAGCUCAUGCUGACCUGUGUGGCGAGACCAACUGCAACUAUACGAGGGCUGCAUCUAACCAUGAAAACAGGUGACAUGAAUUUUAGAACAUGGACAUAGUUGUGGGACUUCAGAGAGUAAAAACGAACUACAGUGGCAAAGUUCCCUGCUUGAUGCUCAUUGGAGCUAUCUCGAGCUAAACCAUCUUUCCCACUGAUAACAACUGGGGGUGUAUCUGAUUCCUGACAGGCAACUAAGACCAAAGGAUGUGCAGCUCUAAAUCCCUCACAGCCCUCAGCCUUAGCAGGAAGUGGCUGCAUUCGUAAACAGGUGACUGGAUCAUCCCGUCUUGAAACAAGCUCAGUAACACCAGAAGCAUCUUCGACAUCAAUCACUUGGAAGCCAUUUGAGUAUCCAAGUAGGAGAACAUUUCUGUAGGAUGACGGACUAAGCUGAAGUUUGUCAAAUGAGGCCCAGAGUACCUGCUUACACCAACCAGCAAGGCCACAACUUAUAUUAACCACUAAUGCGGCAAUCGAGCAUCAAGUAAACGAAAUCCCAUUAGUUACAUCCUAUCAUCUAAGCAAAAAAUUGAUCAAGUUGCAAUCUUUUCUUAUAGAAUGUACAAAAAGAAAAAUCAGCAGAUGAGGUAACUCUGAUCAAAAGGAAACAACUUCGUCACCUACACAGAACAAAUCCUACGGAGUCCUAUAAUGCCAUAACAAACAGUUUCAUUCAGUGAUAUUCACUCCACACCUUCCAUUCACAAAGCACAAGAGACAAAGUACACAGCUUAUCUCAACCACUAAUCCGCUUGACAACCGAGCAAGCAAGGAAAUGAAAUCCCUUCAGCUACUUACUAUCAUUCAAUCUGUUCUUAAUAUUUAAUAGAAAGUACAUAAACCAAAAUCAUCAGAUAAGGUAAAUUCUGAUCAAAAGUAAUAACUCAACUCCUUGUCUCCUUCCCACUACUCCCAGAGAAAACUCCUACAAGGUAAAUUCUGAUAAAAAUGACAGCCCCGUUCAAUGAUUCAGUCCACAGAUUUCCAUUCACAAAUCACAAGAGACAAAUUUACAAAGCAAGAACAACCAAUAAAAAAUAACAUUCGCAAUCUGCUCUCCCACUCCCCAAACUUUCUCAACCAAUCCCAUCCCAAUUCAAAGAAGCUUGAAAGACACUCAAGAAGAGCAACGAACCUGCUCCUUUAUCCCGCCUUGAUUAUCACCAGAGAUCGAAGCGGCAGCUGACCGGACGCCGGAAGAAGCGGUCUUGAUACAGGAGGAAAUGAAUUUCAGAGAGCUGGGAAAGAAGCCAUUGCUGCUGUUGUUUCCCUUGUUGUUAUUCUUCAUAAUCGGAAUGGAAGAAGUAGUGUAAAAUCAGCUGUACCGGAUGAGAUGAGCUUUAUUUGUGUUACUGGGAAGAUGGGAAGUCCGUCGCUAGCCAGCUGCAGCGAUCGAUCGGCGAUAACAUAGAGAUAUUAGAGAGUUGAGCUGUGGGGGAGGAUUGAGGAGCUCGCCGGCGGCGGGGAAUUGGCGACGGCGAUAAAUUGAAUUCUCGUGGUAGUUUUUGCCUUUUUUUUUACUCGAGAAGAAGAGGAGGAAGAAGACGGAGAAGGAAACGGUUCCUUCCUUUUCUGUGUUUGCUUGUCCACAGCAAUUAUGUUUAUUUAUUCUUUUUCCUUUUGUGUGAAUUUUUUAUUCUUUUUUUCUUAGAUAGAGAUGAGGAUUAUGUGGGUAUAUGUGUAAAUUUAAACCGGUCUCAUUAACUCGGAUAAUCUCAUUGCUAAGAGCACAACGUUCAAAAUAUAAAUUAUCCGUACCAACAAUUCAGCAAAAGAAAAAGAGUGACCAACCAACCCUGUAAGUAAGUUACAUCAACUCAUAAAGCCAAUAAUCAAGGGGCAACUUGUUAGUAUUAACAUUUUUCGUAACUAAAUCAACAUGUCGAACUACUUCUCGAUUGCAAUAUCACACUGACAAGUGAGAAAGAACUAUUGGAGGUCAACAUUGUCGGCAAUGAUCGCCGAACACUCCCACGGUCAAUCAGAGUGGAAGAUGGAGCGAAGAUAUCAGCCACAAACAAUAUGUGAGAACGUUUAUUAUGGGGAGGGAUCCAAACAUACUAAGACAAGACAACCACUUGAAUCGAUUUGGUUUCAACACUAAUGGGUGCUCUACAUUUAAGUUUUCCAGCUAACCCAUUAAUAUCCACAUUAUGUAAGCGGACAUUGAUGUCUGAGGAUCGAGUUUGAUCAUUACGAGUACUUGUUUUCUACCUCACAAGAGUUUAUAGGGAUACAUGGUUCUAUGCUAUAUUCUUUUUGAAAAGCAUCAUGUAAAGAUGGGUAGUAAUUUGGUCUAAUUAUAAACAAAUAACGAACAUGAAGAUUAAUUAAUAUCAAUUAUUAAAAAUACUUGUUACGUUGAAUGAGGUUUGUGGUUCGAAUCGAGGAAUAAUUAGUGAUCAUCAUAUUAAUCUCUUUCUCCUAUCUUGAGAAUGUUUUAUAGAAUUUAAUUUGCAUAAGUUAUUUUAGAAAUGGGUUUUGGAGUCGUGAGAGAAUGGAGCAGGUUGGUUCCAAUUGGAUUGGGGUGCAAGCCAAAAACUUGUGAAAUUACUAAAAUGGUCAUGGGAUUUUAUAGGUAAAAAUGUCAACAUAAUGGGUUGGCAUAUCCGCAUAUAUAAAUGUUUCAUGAUUGUCUACGUUAAAUGAAAAGUAAAAGGGUUGUGUUUGUAUGGAAAUUAUAAUUUAGACCCCUUUCGACAGAUAAUAUUCGAUUAAAAUUUUCAUUCCGAGCUUAAUUUCUCAGAAAAUGAAUAUAAUAAUAUUAAUUAAUCGUGUUUUAUACAUAAUCGUAGUGAGUAUACACGUUGGAAUACCGCAUCGCCACAACCCGAUGUAUUAAAAAAGGUUAUUUCCCAAUAAUUGUUUCAAGUGAGUCCAACCAAUUGCUAAUAACUCAUAAUCUUGCUUGGUACAUUCUUCUUUUGUGAAUUGGCUAUAUAAGUAUAUUCCAUUUGUGUGCAUACUCGCACAUGCAAACAAGAGAUUAAAAGAUUUGAUAGCAAAUGUAUGUUUUGAUAGUUUUGUCUCUUUUGGUCCCGUAUCGAGAGAUUAAUAUGAACGAUUACAGAGUUUAAAGAUCGGGAGUGUGAGUUGGUUUGAACUAAUGUUAACUCGUUUAGAAAACCAACAGUGUAGUUUGCAUAAAUAAAUACAAAUUCGGUAGAGAUUAUUAGUUGACUUUUAAACUUUUUACUUGUUCGAAUCGAGUUUUAAAAUUUGUAUUCGAUUAUUUUCGCCUACUUAAUUCCAUUUAGGUAACCGAUAACAGGUUUGACGGAUGAACCAGCCGGGCCGGCUCUUGCUAUAUUUGCAAGGGCUCUUACUCUAUUAGGCUUUAGUAAAUGGAGUAUUGUAGUCCAUAACUAGUCAAUUGUGUGUUGGGCUUCUUAUUUCCCAUGGCAAUAGUGGGCUAUCAAAUCAUACAUAGGCUUAUUGAGAUAUUUGGCGGGACAUUGGGCUUUCUGCAACAAUUAGAUAAAGUCCAACCCAAUUGCUAAAAAGGCCCGGCUGGACUCGGCCCAACCUUUUCGUGGCAUAUAAUAUCUAAUUGACCUUGAACUUCUCCAAUCUUAAUAGAUAUAACCAUCAUAUCUCACAUCUUACACUACAAUACUUUGAUCAAACAUAAUCUAUCAUAAUAUUGGCUCGAAUAUCAAAGUACCCUUCCCAACCUCAACCAUCGCCAAUCAUGAUUUUCGAAUUUCAUGCCAAAGUAAGUAACUUUAUGUGAUGUUACCGGUAGGCCAUGGCACACUAGAUACACAUAUCGUGUUCAUGUUUUGGAUCCAAAUCUAACUUCUCAUAAAAUAUUUAUUUACAUUGGAAUAUCGGAUACCUUGUUUAGAUUUUUCAAUUUGAAAUAACCAUCAUGUCUCACAUCCUACACUACAAUACUUGGAUCAGAUCCUAACCUACCAUAAAAUCAACUAGGAUAUUAAAGUACCUGUCCCUACCCCAACCGUCGCCAAUCCCAAUAUAAAUCAAGUUCAUAUUUUAAAGUUUUCAAUCCAAAUUCGACUUGUUAUAAAACAAAUAUUUACAUUAACUUUCUCUAAGUCUCUCUCAACUUGAACUCAUGGUUAUCCCUCAUUUUAGGUCCAAAGUAGGUCACUUUCUAUGAUGUUACCGAUAGCCCAUGGCCACUAGUGUUUGUAUUGGGAACUUGAUAGGAUUUUUGGAACCACUUCCUUGUUGGCUUCGUGUUGUGGAUUCUUGUUUCUUCUUGGCUACACUUCAUACUUUAGAUUGGUGGACAACAAAUGAAGUGGUUACAAGAGAAGGAAAAGGGUAAAGUGAAAACGUCAAGUAAUCAUAUGAUAACAACAAAUUGAUGUAGGCCAAAUUGAUUGUGUGGUAUGGAAAAAAAGGUUAGGCAAGUGAGAUUGUGAUACAUAUUACAUAUAUUCCAAAUUUCAAUAAAAAAAUACAUGUAUUAUAGUGAAAUAUAAAAUUAUGUGUAUUUCUACAUUUUGUUAAAACUAUCUAUAUAAUUCAAAAAGUGAGAGCCCGCUGUCUAAGUCGAGUCGCGAAUGAAGUAUUAAUUCAGGGUGAGUUUUAAUACAGGAAAUCAUAGAUACGUACGAGUUUCAUGAUCUUAGGUCUUUCAUAGCUAGUGGCUUCACCCUUAGGUUUACACUAAACCUUCAUGGAACACGAGCAACUAGGAAAUGAGACUUAAUCAAACCCCAACAAUAUAAUACUUUGCCGCUUCCCCUUGUUCUGAAAUCUUUCUCACAACCCAAAGCGGUCAUUUUCAUAACAUGGGACCAGAGCUUUUUCUUCUUCUUUGAAACAACAACAAUGGCGAAGACGAGGAAGAAGGAAGAGGAAUUAGGAAACAGCAUUACUGAAGAGCUUCUUCUUAACAAUGGCGGGUCAGAAGUCAAAGCACAGAGUACUUCUUCGCCUUUCACUGCAACCCUUCUGCUCAGCCUCUUCUCCGUUGCUUGUGGGUGCCCUUCUGCUCAGCCUCUUCUCCGUUGCUUGUGGCUGCUGCUCAACUGGCUGCACUGUGAGUUCUUCAAAUUUCAUCUCAGCUGGUUUCAAAAUAGCUUCCUUUGUCUGUUUUAAGUGUGAAAACGAUCGGUUGAUCGGGUUAUGAGUCGCGGGACUCGGAUAAAGGAGGAAUAAGGAAAGAAUAACAGUGGAAUAAAACUGGCGAUUAACGUGGUUCCCGAUUUUGAGGUCGACUAGUCUACGGAGAGAAAGGGGAAUAUUAUUAGGGAUUUUUGGCGGGAGUGACGGCUUAAUUACAGAGAAAAAGACUAACGCUCCACAUAAGGGUUUCGAUUAACAUAUAAUCAUAACGGGUCUAACCCGAUGGUCAUCAAGAUUGAGUAUGAAUUGAUCAGGUUAUAGGUGAAUGAGGUCAUGGUUUGCAGGUGUUUUUAAGAGUUUUCAGUCGGGUAGGUUACGGGUUGGGUUACUCAGGUUGCAAGUAUACGGUCAAUUAGUUUGAGUAUGAAUUGACCGGGUUAUAGAUCAACCGGAUCAUGGUUUGUAGGUUUUGAAGAGUUUUGGAUUAGACGAGUACAUAUGGUUUGUUGGGUUUUUCUCGAUUCAAGGUUGUGGAUUGAGCUGGAUUAGAAUGAGGUUAUGUUAAUCCGGGUCGGGUCAUUAAUUGAUCGGGUGACAUGUUAAAUCGAGUUGGGUUGGAAUGAGAGUGGAGUAAGUCAGCUUCAGGUUUGUGCAGGUGGGUUACUCUUCUCCUGUUGAGUACCAAAUCCUUCAAGAACUUGGUCUCUCUGUUGAAGAGGUGAGGUCCCCUAAAAUCUAACACUUUUUCAACUCUCGAGCUCACAACCUCGAGAAAUUCAACAGCUUUGUCGUUGUUGUUGUUGUGGCAGUACUCAGUUUUCGGGUCGAUGAUGAUCGUUGGAGGGCUAGUGGGUUCCAUAGGAGGUGGCAAGAUUGCAGAACUCGUUGGGAGGAAACGUGUACGAGAGGAUAAUGGAUCGUAAUCCGAUUUUCCGUUUAGCUCCAUAAACCACCAGACUUUUUGCUUAUGGAACACUUAUGUUUUGUCAUUCUGCAGACAAUCCUGGGUUUGGAUGGUCUGUUCAUAGUUGGAUGGGUGAUAAUUGCAACUGCAAAGGUUAGUUUUUAACCUUUGGAGAUUGCUUGCUCCUCAAGUUUCUGUGUAUUUAGGGUUUUGAAUUUUCUUGACUUCAGGGUGCUUUGCAACUUGACUUUGGAAGGCUGUUGCUUGGGAUUGCAUCAACCAUCACUCUUUAUCUGGUAAGAAAUCUCUGAUAACUUGUGUCACAAGUUUCAAUAUAAUUAGAAACAAGUGACUAACAUCAUUUUUGUGCGUCGUUUUUCUACGAAAGGCACCGAUUUAUGUUGCAGAGAUCGCACCAAGGAACUUAAGGGGAGCUGCAGUCUCAGUCACGCAGUUGACUAUGAUUUGCAGUAUUUCGCUCACGUUCCUAGUCGGCUCCUUCAUCAACUGGCGUACCAUGGCACUAAUAGGUCUUCUUCUCGACCGAUCUCGCCAUAGAUUGAUCAAAUUGCGGAGAUAUUGAUUGUUUGUUUACUGUUUUCUGCAUGUAUGUUUGAUUAUUCAGGAGCAGCUCCAGGUUUAGUACAGCUACUCCUCACAUUCUUCAUUCCUGAGUCCCCUAGGUGGCUGGUGAGUUUCCGAUUUUUCAAAGUUUCGUUCAAAACUAGUACUUAUUCUUCUUCUUGGCUUGAUGUCAUUCUGAAUAAUUGGCUGCAGGCUAAAAGUGGAAAGGAGAAGGAGUUUGAAGCUGCAUUGGUAAGGCUUAGAGGAGCAAAUGCUGAUAUUUCAUGGGAAGUUAACGAAAUCAAGGUAACAACUAACAAGUAACAAACUUUCCCUCCAUUUUUCGGGUUUCGUAAGGAACGCUGAAAUCCGAAUGAGACCGGAUCGUGCAUCAGGAUUAUACCGAAACAAUCCAGUCAUUAUCGAAGGACAGCAGCAGCGUAUUCGAUCUGUUUCAGAAACAGUAUGCACUUCCUUUAAUAGUAAGGCAACCCCUCUCUGAUCUUUCUGAAGUUUGUUCUUCAUUUCUCUCACACUUAUCAUCAAGUCAUUUGCUUGAUCGAAUUUCGCAGGUCGGAAAUGGGCUAAUGGUGCUGCAGCAGUUGUCGGGGUUGAAUUCGUACACAUUAUACACCGGUGCUAUCUUCGCCUCUGCAGGUUUUGAACAGAUCUACAUUGAAUCAGAAUCCAUCAAAGUUCCCAACUUUGAUGCAACUUUGUUGUAAAGUUUGUUUCUUUUUGUUUGUUCUUUGGCAGGAAUCCCAAAUACUACAGGGUUCCUGACAGUGUCAGCUUUCCAGGUCAGUGAAACUGAAUCUCUCUUUUCGGGUUAUCAUUAAACUUCGAAUCGUUAGUUAUAUAGAUAUGACUGUCAAAUGCGAUUUUGAAAUCAUGGGUGACGGUUCUCAAAAGUCAAAACCGGGUGGUUUGUCGACUUCAUUUUCGCAGUUUGGAGGCACUGUGUUUACUGCUCUGGCUAUGGACAGAUAUGGAAGAAGACCACUGUUACUAGUUACAGUCAUUGGAACAUGCUUUGGAAGCUUGCUUACUGCACUGUCAUUCAUCCUACAUGUAAACUGAACUAUUCUUUCUUGAUAAAAGAAUCAAAUCCAAAUGCUAAUAGGAUUCAAUUGCAUUUUCUCAGGGCUAUGAAGGAUGGAGUAAAGUGACUCCAAUUCUGGCACUACUGAGUGUUCUGGUGUACUCAGGGUCCAUGUCAGUUGGAAAUGGGAUCCCUUGGAUAAUCAUAGCCGAGGUACGUACUACGUAAAUUUCGAAUACAUACUUCGUAGAGGGUUUUGAUAGGUUUUGUAGUAUUCAUUAACAUGCCCCCUCAAACAGAAGCUCUCGGAAGCGCUGAGGUUUGAACAGUUCUUCUACGAGAUUGACAUGUUUCGUAACGAGUUAUCGUGUUUGUUUUUGCCCUCUUACUCAGAUAUUCCCUCUAAACAUAAAAGGAUCAGCUGGGACAAUGUGCUGCCUUUCCUUCAACCUUUCUUCUCUGUUGGUCUCAUUCACUUUCCAAUCUUUGCUUCAAUGGAGCCCUUCAGGUGAGAAGAGUCGCUAUCUAGCCCAUCUCCGAGUUCACAACUUCAAUAAUAUGUAUUUUUUCGUAUAUUCGGUGGUCAAUUAGUAUGUUUCUUUCAGGCACAUUCUUGUUGUAUGCAAGUGCAAGUGGUGUGGCAAUAUGGUUUGUAGCCAAGUUGGUUCCUGAAACUAGAGGAAGAACCCUUGAAGAAAUCCAAUCUUCUUUCACUCACAAGUGAACCAAGGAAGACAAAAGUUUAAGGAUUGCUUGUACGACAAGUUUCAUAUACAGGAUUGCUUGUAUAACAAGUUUCAUGUACAUUGUAUAGUACACAACAAUGUAAGUAUGAGUUAAAUACUAAGUCUUGUUCAAGCUUAAGUAACACAUUGGAGUGUAGCUCAAGCAAUGUAUAAUAAGAAUGUCAAAUAUGAGUCUAAUAUAUGUAUAUGUUUAUGUAUGUAUAUAUNNNNNNNNNNNNNNNNNNNNNNNNNNNNNNNNNNNNNNNNNNNNNNNNNNNNNNNNNNNNNNNNNNNNNNNNUCAUAUAUUGACCUCAUAUUUGAUGAGAGUUUUUAAAAUGGAUUAUGAUAAUACCCGAUUAAACUCCAAUAAUCAACAUGUCACAUAUAUUAGCUAUGUAGGUACACAAUUACUUAACUUCCUCAGAUUAUUUUGGUUAAAUUGCUAAUAAGGCCAUGAUUGACUCCUUCAAAUUCAAAACUUGCUAAUUAGGACUUCAGUGAAUAUCAUGGUUAGGAGACAAUUUCUCCACUACAUAUACUAAAAAUAGAUAAAUAAUGUACCUAUUUAAAUUUAAUUUAUCAACAACAUUCAAGGGAUUUUUUAAUUCAAUCAUUACUGAUUAAUUAUUUAUAGAUUUUUUACAAUGACAGCGACUCUGAAAGUCGUGACUGUUUCCGUUCUCCUUAUGCUUUUCUCAUGUACAUUGAUCGUAAGAGAAACUCAUGCUCAAGAUGACAUCAUCGGGAAUGUAGGUGCUGACGCAGGAGCUGAUGAUAUCACGGUGAUGCCAGUGACCACACCGGCCGCAGGCAAGCCCGUCGAAAAAGGCGAGGAGAAAGAAGAUGAGAAGAAGAAGGAGAAAAAGGUGCCCAAGAUAGAAGAUAAGAAAGACGAUGAUAAAAGGGACGACGAGAAAAAAAAGGACAACGAGAAGAAAAAAGAGAAGAAGGACGACGAGAAGAAAAAGAGUAAGAAAGGUGGUGAUAAGGAUGACGAUGAGAAAAAGGAAAAGAAAGAUAAGAAGAAGGACAAAAAGGAUGAUAAAGACGAGAAGGACGAGAAAAAGAAAAAGAAGAGUGAGAAGGAUGAUGAUGAUGAGAAGGAUGACAAGAAGAAGGAGAAGAAGGAUGAGAAGAAAAAGAAGGAAAAGAAGGACGGCGAUAAAAAUGAAAAGAAAAAUGAUGAGGAGAAGAAAGAUAAGAAGAAGAAGGACA
rnacentral:lncRNA from 1 species